UAAGACGCAAACGCGCGAUGGGCAUCCAGCCCUCACCGUGAUCCGAAACCCCUGGCUGCCUGGAGACGGUCCGGCUUCAGAGCCCCCAACACUUCCCGGUUCAAACUUCGCCACUCUCCCUGGACCUACUCCGCCCCACUCCGCCCCUAGCCUUCGACCCGCACUGCCACUGCUGCGUGGUCCCUUCCAUCUUCUCCCAUGACCUGACUCCAGCCCUUACCCUAUCCUCUCACUACCCCUAAUGCAUAAAUGCAGCUUCUCCCCUGAUCCCACUCUAAGUCCAGUCCCAACCUCAGUCUCGGCCACAUCCCCCUGCUUCCCCACAGCAAACCUCAUCCUCUCCCCUCAAUCUCUCUGGCAGUGCUAAAGCUCCACUCAAACUUCCCCAGACCCACCAUUCUGGUUUCCCUCCUCUGGCUCAGCCUUUUUAUCCCAAUCUCCCCCACCUCUCUAGGUCUGAGGUCUGCUCAUCCCAAACACAUCACCUCGGUCCCACUCUCAUUUAAGACCCACCAUCAAAGUAGGUGCCCUGUUGAACUCACCCCUUUCUUCUUGAUAACUAUGAUCUCAGCCUUCUCCUGGGUCUUAUGUGUAUCUUCUUCUCACAAACUCAGUCCUUAACUUCCUAGCCCACUGUAUAUUUCCUCCACUUUAUAACUCCAGUCAUCUAUCCACUUCCUACCAUCCUGUGGACACCCCAUCCCUAAGUCUUUGCUUAACUGCCCCCAUCUCAUCCCUAAGUCUUUGCCUAACUGCCCAGUUCCUACCAGCCUUCACCCAGUCUUCUCAAAUAUAAGGUCUCUGUCCUUUCACCUCUGCUGUCUCACCCCAACUCUUCAUACUCAUUCUUCUUUUGACCCAGUCGCCAUUCAACCUGAGCACUUGGUGCAGAGCCCCCUGCCAACUUCACUAAUUGCCCCUCAGCAGCCAAAUCUAAAUGGUUGCUCAAGAGCCAGGCAGUUAGCCACUGAGCAGCUUGAUUGGGUGUGCACAGAGUCUCAGUUGGUAAAUAAGUGUUGAGAAACAAUAGAGUAUUUCUCCCUCUCUCUGGGGUUGGGGCUUUCCCUAGGUGUCUGGUCCCCUGUAUCUGUCCUCAGGAAUUGGGUUUCUAGCAUUCACAUUAAAUUACUUGGCUGCUGGAAUGGUAGGCCUCAUCCCAAUGCUUGGGAGGUGAGGGAUGGUCACUCAUCCAGUUCACUUGGCCUGGGGCAAUGGAAGCCAUCACUUCAUCUUGGCUGGUGUUCUGACCCUGGAGAACCUCAGGGAGUGCCAUAGUGUGAGUUGGCCAUGAGGAUAGAGCCAAGUCCAUGUGCAUUGUCCUGGCAUUUGUAAGGACACUCUCUCAGUGCUCCUCCCUGCCAAGGCUGAUUGCCAGAUCAGUCCCAACGCUGAACACAGGGUAGGCAUUGGGUGCCAGGGAUGAUGUCACAUGUUAUGAAGGGUAUUGGGCAAACUGAGGCCUAGGUGGGUACAGAGGCUAUUGAAUCACUUCCUCCUUUUGCAGGUGCUCCCACUGAAUUUUGGCUGCUUAUAGUUACCCAUGAUGAAGGCAGGGAGCCAAGUUAUCUCAGAGUAGCUCAGGCAGAGGGACAUUCUUGAGGCACACUCAGCAUUUACAGUGUCUUGGGGCUUUUUGGUGCACAUUCCCUCUGACUUCUGGUCACCUAGCUUGAGAAGGGUUGGCCAUCCUCAUACAGUGUGUUGAAAGGGCCCCAAAGGGAACACAUUGCCUUUGCUUGCCAUUUCACCAUUAUUGUCUCAUUCCUUUGAGAAGUGAAGGCUGUUCUACCUUCACUAGCCCUCUGUUAUAGUGAACAGUUUUCAGCUGAUAAGCAGCAUGGUUUAAUGGAAAGAGCUCCAUAAUCACCCCUUCACUUAUAAGUAGUGUACCGUAACUUCCCAUAGUCUAUGAAAUGGAGACAAUAAUACCUGUCCUGUGCCUUACUUUUAUUUUAUUCAACAGUUCAUUCAGCAAGUAUUUUUUUUUUUUUAGCACAACAGUGUGCCCGGCGCUGUUCUAGGCACUGGAAAUGCAAUGGUGAAUGAAUCAGGCAAAGUCCCUAUUUACAUUCAUUCACAAUUUGGUCCUAGCUAGAAUCCUGUGGUAAACGGGACAGGAAUUUUGGGGCAGUGGGUGUAAUUGGAUGGAAGAAAGGAGGAAGGAAAGAAAGAUACCGAGUGUUCACCAACUUCACAGUUCUGCCCUUGCCCACUAGCCCUUGGCUACAUUCUAACCCUACGGCUGGUAUUUAAUUGCUUCAAAGGCUUAGUCUCCCCCACCUCUUAUAGGACACUUGUCCAAAAAUCCAAUUUUCUUCAGGUGGAAGGGAGGUACUGUUUACUCAUUCAGCACUCACAUGUCUGAAAGAUCAUCUUUUCUGGACUGAAAACUGUCAUUCUUUUCCAACUGAAAGACAUGGCUCAUCAGUUGGUACAGGAGCUGAGUGGCUUAAACAGCAGGCUGUUUUAAACAGCCAGGUACACAAUUUAAAAGCCAGUAGAAGGAAGGCUGAUGGGAAUGGCUGUGGAAUCUCUUAACGGAGAAGAAUUUGCUGUUUACUAAUGAGCUGAAUGUUUUGAAAACCCAAUUUAAAGUGGUCAUGCCAGCUAUCCAUUUCUUCUUUUAAUGUAAGUCUCAUAUAAGCCAUUCUCGUCUUUGUUUUCUUCCUUGGUUUCUGGAGGAAGUGAAAUUGAACAUGUAUAGAAGGCCAGGCAGUAUAAUGAAAAACAACCAGGAUAAUUCCUUCCUAACUAUGUUUUGGGACAUUUAAGAAAUGACAGCUCUGAUACUUGGGUCCAGUGGAAAGGAUCUGGGCUCAGCUGGGUGGGGCUAUAGAUCUUAUUGGCAAAUUAGUUUUAGGCCUUAUUUGAUUGCAGAUAAAAUGAAACCUUUGAGUACCUCUUAAAAUUUUCUUAAGUAGUAAGUUUGCCUGAAACUCCAUGAGCCAAAAACCUGAGACAGUUUGGAAUGAAGAAUCUGGAGAACUCUGGAGUAUUCUGCCCCUUACCUGAGGCCCGUUUCUACUGAGCCUCAGUUUUCUCAACUGUAAAACAGGAAUAAGCAUCCUUCUCUCACAGGAUCAUUGUAAGAAUUAAAUGAGGUUAGAAUAUGCGAUUAGAAAAGCUUGUUUAGUUCACCCUGCAGGGCUCUGUAAGGGUGAAUCCAUACUUAGGGGUGAAGAUAGAUAGACGUAACCCCUGUGUUACAUGAUGUGGAGUUUUUCUAAAGGGCAGAACUCACCUUUUCCCGUGGUAGAGUUUUUUGAGAGGUAUUUGGUGUCAUUGCCCAAAUUUUCCCCUUACUCCCUUCAGCAUAGGUUUCCUUGAAGCCAAACCUCUUUGCUUUGAUUCUUGGUGUCAGUGAACAAAGUUUUGAGGACAGAAAGUGAACCCAGUUGCAUAUGAUGGUAAUUCUGGGGUCUGGCCUACUCAGGUGGAAGAUGGAGUGCUGGCCAGCAGUCGAGGCCCAUAGCUCUGUCUGAUUCCACAGUGAUUUCUUGGGCCUAGACCAUCAGAUUCCUGCCUCUGAGUUGGUUUCUGCCUCCCGGAUGCAUUAUGUAACAGAUGUGCUUAGGUAGAGUGCUUUGGCUUCUUACAAAGAAAGGGACGUCUUGAAUUGUGGCCUGAAUCCCAAGGUCUUGGUCCUGUUUUGUGAAUUGUCAAGUGGCUGCUCUCCUGGAUUCUUCUGAGCUGUUGCCUUUUUCUGACCCUUUGUUUUUGGAGUCAGUUACUUGUCUGGUCCUCCUCUGGCCUCUCUUAUCUUCAGGGUACUUUGAUUUGGCAGAUGAUUUCUUGGCCAGAGCACCAACUUACUAACAUCCCCUCUCCAUAAUUACUCUACUAUUCUCAAAUUAAUUAGUUAGUGAGGCCUUAAUGGAACAAGGCUGUUAUUUAGAUUGUUGAGAUCCAUGUCCUGGGGGCCUGGCCUGGCUAGCUAGGGAGGGGCAGUUUCAGAGCUUGAGGGCUCUUUCUGGAAGGGCAGGCCUGAGGGAGAGGCCUUAGGCCACUGAAAUUGCUGAGUGUUAGAGCUCAGGGUCUUGGGGCCAGAGAACCUGGACUCUGCUGGGCAACUUCCCUGGGCUGCACUUGGUUAGCCUUGAAGGAACCUAAGCUCUGGGAUCAGACACUUUUCCAGGGGUGACUCUGGGGUGGGCCUGUGCUGUUUGUUUGACCGCAGCCACACUCCCUUUCUUGCCUUCUUGGUCGCUAAGUAUGAGCUGGUCCCUAGGGGAAGGCCCUGAGAAUUCCUGGCUAGGUGGGAACAAAGAAAGUGGUAAAGGGUGUGGCCAGACAGGGGCUGCAUCCAUGGCAAAUGCUCCUCCUGGCGGUCUGUCACAUCCUGGCCGGAGCUAGUCUGCAGGGGCCCUCUACACAUUCCUACCUCCCUCUCUUUGUCUCUCUUAGAGAGGUCCUGACAGUGGGUCCUUUUUAUCAUCUACCAACCCAAGAGGCCAGGGAUUGAAUCAGAAAAGAAAAACAUUUUCCCAGUGAAAAAAAGAAAAAAUUAUUUAAGUGAGUAUUGUUUGUAUGUUUGGUAUGUGGGUGGCCACAUCCACGGGGAUCAUAGAUACCAUCUAUUGAGUGCCUGGUCCAUAUCAGGCCCUGUGCCAGGCACUUCUCAUGCAUUCACGGUCUCUGACAGUCCCUGAGCAUGCCCAGCUAGUUAAUGGCAAAAUGGAGAUUACAGCUUUUAUUGGUCCUGUUUGUUAUGGUGCCUGCAAGUUAAAGUUCGAGACAGCCAAUUAGAAUUUAAACAGCCUUUAUUAGCCGGCCGGCGACUGCUCAGCUUGACUCCCUCCGCACAGGGAAUUCAGUGAGCAGCCCCGACCUGUGUGCGCCAGUGCCUUAUGUAGACAGAAACCGUAUCCUAGAAACGCAAGCAAGCUAUUCUAACAGAAGCAGAGUUGGCAGUUAGCUCUUGAUUACAAAAAAAAACAAUUUUACAAAGAGUUUCACUUGGAACUGGUACAGUUUUUGGUUGUCAAAGAGUUACAAAGAGUUUCACUUGGAACUGGUGCAGCUAUUGAUUGUUAAAGGGUUAUGCUUGGCUGAUGUGUGCAACCGCAGUUUCGCUUCCUUUAACUGGUACAGUCUCACUCCCCCCUCCUCAUGGCCUAAUGCUGUUUACACAACAUUUUUGCUUUGCAGAUGUUAUAGGAUUAAGGGGAAAGGGGACCCCACUUCACUGUUUAGAUGCGUCCUCCUGUCCCAUGCAAGGCAGAUCAUUGUAGCCUAAAGGAGAAGCAGAAGUGUAGCAGCAGAGCCCUCCCCUUUUGAAGCUGUUUCAGUUGUACUUUUUGCUGCUGACCUGCAGACUAGGACCAGGGCAAGAGGCAGAGGGCCUGUUGCAGAAUCAGGCCCUGAAUGUGAAUUCUGAGCCCCUGCUUCCUGGUGCCUAUGGAUCCUUGGUGCCUUCAGCCACAGCAUCUCCUUUCACUCCCCUCCCACUCCUUAAUCCCAAGGAUCCUGGCUUUCUAUACUGGCAUUUGGAGUUAAGGGCCCUUACUGCCCACUCCUUGGGGCAGGUCCACCCAUGGAUCACUGGACUCCUUACCUCCUGAGGUCUGAGCCCUCUGACUUUCUUCCUUUCUUGUUUCUUUCUUUAUAAUCCUCUCUCCAGGUUUUACUUUUGUAUUCAAAAGACCUUUUGGUUGCAGUUUGAGUGAAAUCAGCUGAGUCCUACUGCCUGCUGGGUGGGACUCUGGGUAGAGAGUUAAGUUGAGAGCUUGCUCAUCUGGCCUCUAUCUGUCUCCCAGGUAUCUUGUGAUUAUCCACAGGAACUGCUGCACCAGUGGAAAUGCUCUCUGGUGGAGAAUGGCCUGUACCCCCGGGCUGCCAUCCUGGUAGGUGGGCAAGAGAGGAUCAAGGGUGGAGAAGGGGUGCAGAGAGACAGCUAUUUUGCCUAUUUUUUUCUAAGUUUGAAAGGAAGGGGCACCAUCCAAAAAGAGAGGGCUUGGGUUGAGGAAAAACUAUGGGAGAAGUAGAUGUCACGGCCGAAGGACUAAACAAAGCAGGGCUUUUGCAGCCGAAGGACUAAAGAAAACACCGAACACAUUCUGAGACAUGAGCUUUUAUUUUGGGGGUUUACCUACAGGGUGAGAAGUUGAUCAUGUUGCCCUGAAUUCAGGAACUUCUCUGAAUGGAUUCAGGAGCUGCUGUGAACAGCGGCGGGUUCAAAGCUUAACAUGAAGAUACACUGCAAAAGCAGGGGGUGCUGGGGAGUGCUUUAUGGGGUUAGGACAAAGACAUUCAAAUGGGUAUGAGAGGAGCAGGGGUCUUGUGAUGUAGGGAGGAAUCAAUUGUAGUCAACAGGGAAGAGGGGAGGAUUAUAGAUUAUAAUAGUACCUCAGGGAGUUUCGGGGAGGAGAUAGUUUCAGGAGAUUACAUUUAGUGCCAGAGGCCUGAUUUUACAAGGAGAGUAGGUCAAACCUUAACUGUCCUAGGUUAAGCAAGCUGCUGCGUGCAGUCUUCAAGGCACUUGGGGAUGCUCCUGGGCCCGGGGCUGCCACACAGCACCAGACAGGGAGGGCAGGCGGCUGGCAGUCUGCAAUCUGAACUUCUGGUUUUCCUCUCCCAGUGCACUGAAUUUGCCAAAGGAUCUGUUUCACUUGAAAUAUUCACACUCAAAUCAUAGGGAAAAUGCUGGGUUCUUCAUACUCAAAAAGGCAAUUUCACUGACCCGCCAGGAGGACACUUAGUAGUGAAAGGUUUGCACUUACCCAUUAAGCCGCCCUCCAUUCCCUAAUGCCCCUUGACCAAGAAGGGAGCUUUGCAGGUGCCCGGGCAGCAUGAGGGACACUGUCCCUUGGCUGAGGAACAAGCCAGGAAAGCCAGUGGAUGGCCCAGAAAUCAAACUCAUGACCCUGGCCUUGGUCCCUCUCAACCAGGCUAACAGUCAAAAAAUAAAAAAAUAGAACAAUCAAAAUUGUGCUCAUUCCUAACAAAUAUUUUCAAAAUUAUGUUUAUGGGGAAUCCUGGGGAAGUUUUAUGAGAUUCAUCUGAGGAGCCUUUAUCCUUUUUAUUCAGGGGGUAUCACUUUGUACAAGAAAAAUCAAAGCUGAUGGCUGUCACACUGAAAAUCUCUUUCCUUAAAGAAUUUCUGCCCUGAUAUGUCUGCAGAUACAUGUCAUGAAAAUCAUUUAAAACAGAAACCAAGGAGUGUUGUUCCACAUUUUGGCAUCUCCAUUCAUGUCAUUCCAGAGGCGGCACCACCCAGAUGGCAAAUAUGUUCUCAGAAAUGUGCAAAAGUGUGUAAGAAAACUCUCCAGGGAUCUUAGGGUGGGGUGCUGAAUAAAAUGCAAAGAACAAAAUAA